rnacentral:rRNA from 1 species
UGGGGAAUCUUGGACAAUGGGGGCAACCCUGAUCCAGCCAUGCCGCGUGGGUGAUGAAGGCCUUAGGGUCGUAAAGCCCUUUCGCCGGGGAAGAUAAUGACGGUACCCGGUAAAGAAGCCCCGGCUAACUCCGUGCCAGCAGCCGCGGUAAUACGGAGGGGGCUAGCGUUGUUCGGAAUGACUGGGCGUAAAGCGCGCGUAGGCGGAUCGGAAAGUUGGGGGUGAAAUCCCGGGGGCUCAACCUCGGAAUGGCCUUCAAAACUCCCGGUCUUGAGUUCGAGAGAGGUGAGUGGAAUUCCGAGUGUAGAGGUGAAAUUCGUAGAUAUUCGGAGGAACACCAGUGGCGAAGGCGGCUCACUGGCUCGACACUGACGCUGAGGUGCGAAAGCGUGGGGGAGCAAACAGGAUUAGAUACCCUGGUAGUCCACGCCGUAAAACGAUGAAUGCCAGACGUCGGGGGGCUUGCCCUUCGGUGUCACACCUAACGGAUUAAGGCAUUCCCGCCUGGGGGAGUACGGUCGCAAGAUUAAAACUCAAAUGAAUUGACGGGGUCAUAGCUGUUUCC